CCUGGCUUGUUACUGCCCGCAAGCCUGGCUCCCAUCGCAGGGGUCCUCCAAGAGGAAAUGCCAAAACCACAGGACCCAAGAAACCCCAGUACCACUCCAAGACCAUGCAGCAAAUGCUGAAGGAAAUGCUGCAGGGAGCACAAGAGAAGGACCAAAGAGCUCUGCUGAAGGCAGCACUUUCCAGAGGAAGCAGUGGCUCAUUGGCAGUCUCUUCUGCAGGAAGGGAGGCCAUGCCAGGCACAGUAAC